GUUAUUUAAAAAAAAAAACAGAAAAGGAAAGAAAAAAAAAUUGAUGUCUCGAUGUUUCUUGAUCAUACAAAGAUUUCCAUGGCGAAACUACAAAUCAAAGCUAUAGAACUCAUGAGAUUAACGGCCACAUAAUCCUUGCGGUGGUAAAGAUUGAAACCACUGCUUGAAGAGGUGACAAUCGAGGGUAGCAAAUCAAAGAACUACCGAUGUUUUAUGAUUAGCUUCUAAAGUCAAACCAACGCUUGGAAACUCGGUAGAUCCACCGAGGACUUCACCUUUUCCGAUCUCCUUAGAUGAUUUUUUUCUAACUUUUCCUUUUAGCAGAGAUAAAGAUCUUAAAAAAAUAAUUCUUGCUUGUUUUGAAUGUCGGAUCUUAAGCCAUCCGUGAUAAGAGCUGGCAAGUUUGAGAUGGUUGUCGACUUCACCUUCUCAGAUCUCUUUGACAAAGUCAUAAGGAGAUUUGAAAGACCACAAAACGCUUCGAUAAAUUUGGAUAAAGACAAAUAUGUUGGAAGUGAACAUUUACCAAAUACAAAAGGAAGAUCAUGCUAAUACCAAAAAUUAGUUAUGGAGAGCCGUGGAAGAAGGAUUUUGGACCUGUCUUGGCUUAUCUCAACUCUGUCAAAGAGGUAAUUUACAUUAUUGAAGACAUUUUAGGUUUUUGUUUGAUAUUGUAGCUGUGAGUAGAUGUGAGAAACUCAGAAAAGUUAGGCACGUUAUGGGUGUAUAUAUAGUAUUAGGUUAGGCGAUAGUUUUUUAAGUGUCGCUUAGAAAAUUCUCUAGCAUAUUCGGAUUCAGUUUAGGAAAUCCCUAGAGUAGUGAUCAAGCAAAAAAGAUUUAGAGAUUUAUUGUUAGCUUAGAUUUACAUAUAAAUAUAAUAUUUACAAUUCAGUU